AUAUUUUACUUCCGUCCUUAAAUUUUAAUUUAACAAAAAAAAAACCUUUACUUUACUUUUAAUAUGAUUUUAUUCUACUUUCCAAACUUUUUAUACUAUGUCAUUUAUAUCCUUAUAUAAGAUAUUUAAUAAAUAGUAAUAGUUGUAUAGAAAAUAGUGGUUCAAUUUUACUUUUAUUACCGACUGUUCCUAUAGUAAGUGGCAAAAGACUUGAUUGUUAGUACCCGAGAUCCCAAGUUCGAAUCCUAAUUGAUUCACAUUUCUAGCUAAAUUUAUUUCUAAAUAAAAUAAACGAAGUAAGUAGCGUGCUACUUAUCUCUAAAAAAAAAAAUUUCACUUUUAUUCUUAGCACUUUGCCUAGCUUUACAUCUGGCUAGGCAUUAAAAUAAUUUUCGAACUUAAUAAUAUAAAUAAAUAAAAAUAUUUAUUAAAUUAAUUAAAAAAAUAACUUAACUUAUAUUUUUUUUUAACUGUGGCAGUAAUAUUUGUACAU
rnacentral:lncRNA from 1 species